GAUGAAGAACGCAGCGAAAUGCGAUACGUAAUGUGAAUUGCAGAAUUCAGUGAAUCAUCGAAUCUUUGAACGCAUAUUGCGCUCUUUGGUAUUCCGAAGAGCAUGCUUGUUUGAGUAUCAGUAAACACCUCAAAGCUUUUGGAUUUUUUAAUCGAAAAGCUUUGGACUUGAGCAAUCCCAACACCAAUCUUUUUGAGAUCGGUGGCGGGUUGCUUGAAAUGCAGGUGCAGCUGGACAUUCUCCUGAGCUAAAAGCAUAUUCAUUUAGUCCCGUCAAACGGAUUAUUACUUUUGCUGCAGCUAACAUAAAGGGAGUUUGACCGUAUUGGCUGGCUGAUGCAGGAUUUCACAAGGGUCGGCAACGAUUCUUGUUAAACUCGAUCUCAAAUCAAGUAAGACUACCCGCUGAACUUAAGCAUAUCAAUAAGCGGAGGA
rnacentral:misc_RNA from 1 species